GACGAACGCUGGCGGCGUGCUUAACACAUGCAAGUCGAACGGAAAGGCCCUGCUUUUGUGGGGUGCUCGAGUGGCGAACGGGUGAGUAACACGUGAGUAACCUGCCCUUGACUUUGGGAUAACUUCAGGAAACUGGGGCUAAUACCGGAUAGGAGCUCCUGCUGCAUGGUGGGGGUUGGAAAGUUUCGGCGGUUGGGGAUGGACUCGCGGCUUAUCAGCUUGUUGGUGGGGUAGUGGCUUACCAAGGGUUUGACGGGUAGUCGGCCUGAGAGGGUGACCGGCCACAUUGGGACUGAGAUACGGCCCAGACUCCUACGGGAGGCAGCAGUGGGGAAUAUUGCACAAUGGGCGGAAGCCUGAUGCAGCAACGCCGCGUGCGGGAUGACGGCCUUCGGGUUGUAAACCGCUUUCGCCUGUGACGAAGCGUGAGUGACGGUAAUGGGUAAAGAAGCACCGGCUAACUACGUG
rnacentral:rRNA from 1 species